rnacentral:snRNA from 1 species
CGAGUGAUACUCGAACCAGAGA